UUUUCAAGUAUUAAAUGUUAGGGUUUCAGUCGCCAAAGUCUGGCGACUUGAUUCAGGUCGAACGCCGCCGAGUCGAAUACCUCAGUUACGAUGUAAAGUGAAUCGUAGAGCUCGGUUGCUGGAUGGAGUUGCUCAGUUCGCGCAUAACAAGGUCGAUUUGGAUUCAGGUUGUCUCCAAAUUUUCUUGCUUUUUACCAUUCUCUGCUUCGAAUUACUGAAUCACUUCAUUUUUUUGGAAAUUUUAUUGGUGGAGUUAAUUUCUAAGAUAAAGUUGUGGCCUUUGUCUUUGUGUUUAUUUUGGAUUGGAGAUUCCCUUCUUCCCAUUCCUUUGUAAGCCCCUUUUUACUUCACUGUCACUGUUGUGCUGCUCAAUAUUCAGUCAAUAAAGAAUGUAAUUAAUUUAGCUCCCCUGAUUUUCUUCUUUAAUUUAUCUUUUGUUUGUUUUAAUUGGAUAAUCUCACGAAGUGAACAAGAAGGAACUGACAACUGGGAUUUUUUAGCAAGUAAUAAUUCUUAUUUCCUUACAAUGUUUUAAUUUUAGUUUACCUACUUCCCUUCAAAUAUGACCUUACAGAAUUCACAAUUCUAUUCUCAAUAUAACGUUAUGUGCUGAAAAUAGAAUUCCCAAAUCUGAUAUCAUUUUCAUUCUAAUUGCAGAGGUAUUCAUUAAUCAAUGUUUCAUCUUAAUAGUAAACAUUUUAAAUUUCAUUGUAUUUAAUUGCAUGUCUAAACGAGCUUCUAUUCCCUUGGGCAAGGACUUAGAUCAGAAGCCUGAGAACAGCUUACCAAAAGAUAUUCAUGCUUGCUGAUGAAAAUUUCGGGGUUUUGAUGAACAUUUUUCUAAGGAAAAUUCAUGAAUUAGGGCUAUGCUCCAAUCUAUUUAAGACUUGAAGAUUUAGAAGUUUCCUGGCUUUGUCUUUGAAUUCA
rnacentral:sRNA from 1 species